UCGUUAGCUCAGUUGGUAGAGCAGUUGACUUUUAAUCAAUUGGUCNCGUUCGGUGGAAACGAGAAUAAAACGUGAAGGAUAACGUUGCGUCAGCAACGGCCUGUAGGGCGAG
rnacentral:tRNA from 1 species